GCUGCGUGCGCCGAUCGCCUAGAGCAGCGCGAGAGCUACGUGCGUGUGUUGGCGCGCGAUGUCCCGGGACCGCGUUCUCGCCGGGGCUGCAACCCCGGGCGCAGCGGGGGCAGCGGAGCCGAUCCCCCUCUCCGCAACCGCCGCGGCGCCGCGGGUUUCGGAUCCGCUGAGGCGAUGUCUGCAGUCUAUGAGAAGCUGCUUUGUCCUCCCCUCUCCCUGGCAGUGCUAUCCUCACCCUGGCUCGGAUGCAGUUAUGGCUCUGCCCUUCAAUUGCUUGCUGUGUGUUGCCUUUUCGUAGAAUUAUAGACCAUAAAGACUCUAGCGUGCAGAUUUUGGAUUCGCCAGUUCCCAUAACCCUGUGAGUCAGCAGCCUGCUGCCUGACCUGAAGAUUUUGGGUUCGUCAGCCCCUGCUAUCAUGUGAAUCAGGAGAAGCCUCCAGCCUGCCGCUGACCCGUGCAUUUGGGACUUGCCAGCCUCCACCAUUGCGUGAGCCAUUUCCUUGAAAUAAAUCUAUUUAUUUACAUAUAUGCUUCACUGGUUUUGCUCUUCUAGAAAACCCAGCCUAAGACAUUAUGCAUGGAUAUUUGGUGGCCGGAGGAGUAGACUGUGGUAGAGUUGUUCGCCAAGGUACAUUCUCACCUUCUUCCCUUAUUAUUUAUCAAUUAUUGUCGAGUUGAUUCUGACUCUGGCAACCCUGUGUGUUUGAGUAGAGCCAUACUUAAUACGGUUUUCAAUGGCCGUGAUCUUUCAGAAAGAGUUUGCCAGUGCCUCUGGGUAGAUUUAGACUGCCAACCUUUUUAUUAGUACUGCCAAGUAUUAGCUGGAUCCAUGGCUGCCCAGCUGGAGAACUUUAUCACUUAUCUUUCCAGUAGAUGUAGCUGACUCUAACCAAGGCAAUGGAAUGAAUGGAAAUGAUAUGUGCUACUUCUGGUGCGCUUUUUCUUUCUUCCUUUUGCCUGGCUAAGAUGUAAAUGUGAUUGCAGGGGAUGAGAUGGUCACUUAGUACCCAGAGAUGGAAGUCAUGUAUUAAGGAUGGCAGAGUUGCCUUACCAGUCCUGGAACAGCUAGCUCUAGACAAGUACAUGAGAGAAAAAAAAAAAAAAAGACUAUUUUCAGAUGUUAUCUUUUGGUCUCGAUUAAUCUCUUAAUCUAUAUCUCAACUAAAAGGUUUUAGAUUAAAGCAUUAAGUAUCUUUACCUACAAGAGCAAGGCAGAGCAAUUCUUGAGCAAAUGCAGAAGACAUUUUUGCUAAUGUAAGUCAGAAUUUAGGUCCAAUUAAAUUCACUGCAUAACCAUUUGUUAUGGAUUGAAUCGUGUCCUCAAAAAUAUAUGUUGUAAAUUCUAAUACCUUUUAUACCUGUGUUUAUAGUCCUAUUUGGGAAUGAGUUUUUUUAUUAUGUUAAUGAGACAGUAUCACUAUAGGGUAUAUUUUAAGUCAACCUCUUUUGAAACGUAAAAGAGCAGAUUAAACAGGCAGCAAGUAAGCAUAGAUGGGGAUGAUAGGUGUCACACCACAUGUCUUAGUUGUCUAUUGCUGCUGUAACAGAUAUAGUACAAGUAGGUGGCUUUAAAAAACAGAAAUUUAUUUUCUCACAGUUAGGAGGCUGGAAGUCUGAAUUCAGGACAUGGGUUCUAUGGGAAGACAUUGUUUGCUCUGCGGUAAGAUCCUUGCCCCUUGGUUCCUUGGUGAUCUUCAUGUGACGUGGCAUCUAUCUUUUCCUGUCUCUGCUUGCUUAAUCUUCUCCUAUUAUAUCUCAAAAGAGAUUGACUCAAGACAUACCCUACUUUAAUACUGCCUCAGUAACAUAGCGAAGAAAACCCAUUCCCAAAUGAGAUUAUAGCCACAUGUAUAAACACCCAUUGCCAUCAAGUCAAUUCUGACUCAUAAUGACCCUAUAGGCCAGAGUAGAACUGCUCCAUAGGGUUUCCAAGGAGCAGCUGGUGGAUUUGAACUGAUAACCUUCUGGUUAGCAGACAAGCUCUUAACCACUAUGCCACCAGGGCUCCACCACAUGUAUAGGAGUUAGGAUUUAUAACACAUAUUUCUUAGGGAUGCAAUUCAGUCUAUAACAUUCUACCCUUUGGCCCUUAAAAAUUCGUGUCCUUCCUACAUACAAAACAUAAUCAUCCAUUACAUCAUCCCAAAAGUCUUAUAUUAACUCCAAGACCAAAAUCUCAUCUUCUGAGUUAUCUAAAUCAAAUAUGGGUAAGAUUUUAGGCAUAUUUCAUCCUGGGACAAAAUUCCUCUUUAUCUGUAAACCUGUGAAAUCUAGAAUACAAGUUUUAUGCUUCCAAAGUAAAAUGGUGGAACUGACACAGGGUAGACAUAGUCAUUACAAAUGGGAGAAAUUUGAGGGAAAGAAGCAAUAAUGGGUACCAGCAGAACAAAUUACAGUAGCUCUUAAGACUUGAAAAUAAUUCUCUGUUCUCUGAGACCAUCUGGGCAAUGGCCCUGCCCUUCAGACUCUGAGGGUUGGCCAUGCUUUCUGGUUUCUGGGUGUAGGCCCCUAGGCUUUGGGUGGAGGCCCCACCUUCCAGGUCUACUAAUAUAGAAACCCUGCCUCCUCUGCUUUGUUUGGCCCCGUUCUUCUGGUCCAUCUAAGUGGCAACCCCACGACCUCAGCCUCAGUAGGCUCCGUUCUUCUGCCCUUUGGGCAUUGCAACCCUGCCACCUCAUCUCUGGGUGAAGGCCCCAUACUGCUGUCACACCUGAACAGCAGCCCCAUGCUCUGGAACUGAGUUGGUGGAGUUCUGACUCUUUGAAACCCAAGAGGCUGUGACUCCACCCUUUGAUGCCUAGUAGUUUGUGGCUCCACCCUCUGCUCCUUCACACAGUUCUGUUUAUCUCUACACUCCUUCAGGGAUGGUCCUUGUCUUUUCUUGAAGGACAACGGAUAUAGCUCCUUUGGCCUGUUCCCUGCCUGCAGAAUUCCAGGAGGCAGACAGCUUUCCUUUCUUUCAUCCUGCCUCUGUCCCCUUCAGUCUAAGAAGAUGGGUUUUCUGCUGUGAUAGUUGGUUAGAUCCAUCAGUCACAGGCUUAACCUCUUUAACAAAAGAUUGUGUAGCCUCGUCCUUGGUAAAAAUUCUAGAACACAUAUCCUGAGUUUGUACAACAGAAUUUUCCAAAUCUUUAUAAGUUUUGUUUUCUUUGAGCAUAGUUCAUUUUUAAGUCCAUACCUUUCCUUUCACAUUUUACUACAAGCAGCAAGGAGAAACCGUGCAGCCCCUUUAAGAUAUUGCUUAGAAAUCUCCUCAGCCAAAAAUCCAAGUUCAUCACUUAAAAUUCUACCAUCCACCAAACAUUUGAACAUAAUUCAGACAAGUUCUCUGCCACUGCAUAAAAACAAGUUCUCUGCCACUGCUCAUACUCCUCCCCUGUCCAACCACAUGUUCACCAUUUUCUUUUGAAGUCUCACCAGCAAAUCAUUUAAUGUCCACAUUUCUAGUAACAUUUUGUUGCUGGCACCAUACGUAUUCUCUGAGACAAUAGAGACUUUCUCUGUGGCUCUCCUUACUUGCUUCUGCACCGUCAUUGAUUGAAUUUUUUCCCCCGGAAAUAUCUGUCAACUUAGCUAGGUCAUGAUUCCCAGUAUUGUCAUCUGAUGUGAUUUCCCUAUGUGUUGUAAAUCCUAUCACUAGAUGUAAUAAGAUGGAUUAGUGGCAGUUAUAUUGAUGAGGUCUACAAGAUUAGAUACUGUCUUAAGCCAAUCUCUUUUGAGAUGUAAAAGAAUCGAGCGGAGAGAGACAGGGACCUCAUACCACCAAGAAAGCAGUGCCGGGAGCAGACUGUGUCCUUUGGACCUGAGGUUCCUGCGCCGAUAUCCUCCUGGACCAAGGGAAGUCUAAAGCAUCACAAGGACCUUCCUGCAGAGCUGACAGAGAGAGCCUUCCCCUGGAGCUGGUGCCCUGAAUUCGGACUUCUAGCCUAUUGUACUGUGAGAGAAUGAACUUCUCUUUGUUAAAGCCAUCCACUUGUGGUAUUUCUGUUAUAACAGUACUAGAUGACCAAGACAUGAGCCCUCACCAGAAUUGCCUUUGAUGUCCAUAAUUCUUCCAGCAGUCUAUUCAAGGCAAUCUAGGCACCUUAAAAUUCUUCCAGCCUCUACCCAUUACUCAAUUCCAAAAUUGCUUCCAUGUUUUAGGUAUCUGUUACAGCAGCGCCUCAUUCUUCUGGUACUAAAUUCUGUCUUAGUUAUCUAGUGUUGCUAUAACAAAAUGCCACAAGCGGAUGGCUUUAACAAACAGGAAUUUAUUUUCUCACAGUUGGAGGCUAGAAUUCAGAAUUCAGGGUGCUCGCUCUAGGAGAAGGCCUUUCUCUCUGUCGGCUCUAGAGAAAGAUCCUUGUCUCUUUGAACUUCUGCUUCUGAGAGACCUUCACAUGACUUAGCAUCUCUUUUACCCCAACUCUCCUUCUCUUGCUUAAUUUCUUUUAAAUCUAAAAAGAAAUUGACUCAAGAUACACCCUAUACAAAUCCUGCCUCAUUAACAAAGACAACCCAUUCCUAAAUAAGAGUAUAACCACAGGCAUAGAGGUUAGGAUUUACGGGACAAAAUUUUUUUGAGACACAAAUUCAAUCCAUAACACCAUAGUACACUUAAUGUGAUCUGAUCCUGUAUGUGAUAUUAUGGAAGAAGACCCAGCGCUUGACCACCUAUUUCUGGAUUGUUAUAUAGAAAGAAACUUUUCUGUUUAAACUGCUGCAUUUUGGGUUUCUUUGUUAUACCACAGAGGAUACUUACACAGCGUGCUAAGGAAUAAACAUUGUUAGAAUUUGUGGGAAGACCAGAGCCUAAUCACAAAAGUAACAAAUCAAAGCAGUGUAUGUCAGAUCGGGAGGUGUGUAAAGCAAAGACUGUCUCAGUGUAGAGGAGCUCAGAAGGAACUACGUGGAGAGUCUGAAGAAAAGGAAUUUCCAGUGAUGAAUAUGGAAUGAUUGAGGGCAGGAAUACUUAAUUCUCUCCUUAAAACAACAACAAAAAGCUUGUUGCAACUUUUCUUGCUAUUAUUCUGGUAAAUGAAAUAAGAAACCCCAGUUUUAUAAAAAGAAACUUUGAAUAAUAAAUUACCACAUCCUUAAAAAUGUUUAUUUUUUAUAAUUAUAGCAGGAACACAUAUCCGUUGGAACACUUUACUGUAACCAUGUAUAACAUUUUCAAAGAAGUUUAAAGGAAAUAAAAAUCAGCAGAAUCCCACUAUCCUGAACAACAAAACUGCAAACAUUUUUAUUUCUUCUUGUCUUUUUUCAAUGAGUGUACAAGUGGUUGUAUGUGUAUUUUUGUAUAGUUGAGAUCAUACUGUAGUUCUGUUGUGUUUUCUCAUUUGACUUUACGUAAGUACUUGUCCUUGAUAUUAAAAAAUUUUCACUUCUUAGUUGCCGAGUAUUUCUAGCAU